rnacentral:rRNA from 1 species
AGUGAACGCUGGCGGUAGGCCUAACACAUGCCAGUCGAACGGCAGCACAGUAAGAGCUUGCUCUUACGGGUGGCGAGUGGCGGACGGGUGAGGAAUACAUCGGAAUCUACUUUUUCGUGGGGGAUAACGUAGGGAAACUUACGCUAAUACCGCAUACGACCUACGGGUGAAAGCAGGGGAUCUUCGGACCUUGCGCGAUUGAAUGAGCCGAUGUCGGAUUAGCUAGUUGGCGGGGUAAAGGCCCACCAAGGCGACGAUCCGUAGCUGGCCUGAGAGGAUGAUCAGCCACACUGGAACUGAGACACGGUCCAGACUCCUACGGGAGGCAGCAGUGGGGAAUAUUGGACAAUGGGCGCAAGCCUGAUCCAGCCAUACCGCGUGGGUGAAGAAGGCCUUCGGGUUGUAAAGCCCUUUUGUUGGGAAAGAAAAGCAGCAGGUUAAUACCCCGCUGUUCUGACGGUACCCAAAGAAUAAGCACCGGCUAACUUCGU